rnacentral:rRNA from 1 species
GAUGAACGCUGGCGGCGUGCCUAAUACAUGCAAGUCGAGCGGACGGACGAGAAGCUUGCUUCUCUGAUGUUAGCGGCGGACGGGUGAGUAACACGUGGAUAACCUACCUAUAAGCCUGGGAUAACUUCGGGAAACCGGAGCUAAUACCGGGUAAUAUUUUGAACCGCAUGGUUCAAAAGUGAAAGACGGUCUUGCUGUCACUUAUAGAUGGAUCCGCGCUGCAUUAGCUAGUUGGUAAGGUAACGGCGUACCAAGGCAACGAUGCAUAGCCGACCUGAGAGGCUGAGCGGCCACACAGGAACUGAGACACGGACAAGACUCCUACGGGAGGAAGCAGUAGGGAAGCUGCCGCAAUGGGCGAAAGCCUGACGGAGCAACGCCGCGUGAGUGAGGAAGGGAUUCGGAUCGUAAAACUCUGUUAUUAGGGAAGAAGAGAUGUGUAAGUAACUGUGCACAUCUUGACGGUACCUAAUCAGAAAGCCACGGCUAACUAUGUG